GCCGAAGUGGUGGAACUGGUAGACACGCUGUGUUGAGGGCGCAGUGGGCAACGCCCGUGCGAGUUCGAUUCUCGCCUUCGGCACCA
rnacentral:tRNA from 1 species